rnacentral:rRNA from 1 species
CCUACGGGAGGCUGCAGUCGAGAAUCAUUCACAAUGGGGGAAACCCUGAUGGUGCGACGCCGCGUGGGGGAAUGAAGGUCUUCGGAUUGUAAACCCCUGUCAUGUGGGAGCAAAUUAAAAAGAUAGUACCACAAGAGGAAGAGACGGCUAACUCUGUGCCAGCAGCCGCGGUAAUACAGAGGUCUCAAGCGUUGUUCGGAAUCACUGGGCGUAAAGCGUGCGUAGGCUGUUUCGUAAGUCGUGUGUGAAAGGCGCGGGCUCAACCCGCGGACGGCACAUGAUACUGCGAGACUAGAGUAAGGGAGGGGGAACCGGAAUUCUCGGUGUAGCAGUGAAAUGCGUAGAUAGCGAGAGGAACACUCGUGGCGAAGGCGGGUUCCUGGACAUUAACUGACGCUGAGGCACGAAGGCCAGGGGAGCGAAAGGGAUUAGAUACCCUGGUAGUC